rnacentral:tRNA from 1 species
GCUGCCGUGGCGUAGUGGCAUAGCAUCUGACUGUAAAACAUGAGGGUUGAGGGUUCGAUUACCACUUGAGGAA